rnacentral:rRNA from 1 species
CAGCAGCCACGGGAAUACGGAGGGUGCAAGCGUUAAUCGGAAUUACUGGGCGUAAAGCGCACGCAGGCGGUCUGUCAAGCCAGAUGUGAAAUCCCCGGGCUUAACCUGGGAACUGCAUUUGAAACUGGCAGGCUAGAGUCUUGUAGAGGGGGGUAGAAUUCCAGGUGUAGCGGUGAAAUGCGUAGAGAUCUGGAGGAAUACCGGUGGCGAAGGCGGCCCCCUGGACAAAGACUGACGCUCAGGUGCGAAAGCGUGGGGAGCAAACAGGAUUAGAGACCCGCGUAGUCCCUGUCUCUUAUAC